ACACUGGUUCUCAGCCUGAGGCCCUUGCGACAUCCAGGGCCCCAUCCGGUUCCCAUUGCAGAGUGAGAAAUUCAUCCGGCGGCAAUUCUGCGCCAGCACCUUCCUGCCUGAGUUUCCCUUUCCCAUCUUACACACUCGCCCUCCCCGUUGACUAGCGCCUGGCAGGUUUCCAGAGGUAUCCGGUUCCAGGAGAGAAAAUACACAGGUCGUGUGUAAGGACUAAAUAGAACCCUUCCUUGGAAACAGCCUUUGUCAGGUGUCCGAGAAACCGUCCUGCCUUCAUCCGCAGUGUCGUCCUGCAUCUGUGGCUUCCAGACUGACAGCUGCAUCCAGGUGCCUCUGGCCUGCUGUGACAGGGGCCUAUUUUAAGCCAGCGAUCUUCAGCAACUUUACAGAAUUGUGAAACCAACACCACAGCAUAAGUUCAGGACAUUUCUUCAACCCGAGAAGACCCUGUCUGUGUGUGGUCCUUCUCACUCCCUCCCCAGCAGCCAUCUUUCUGUGAGAAAGCAGGUGGUCGUGUUGGGAUCCACUUGGAGGGUGGCCUCCAGCCAGCCACCAGCAGCCAGCGGAAACCAAGUUCUACAACAACCCGCAGAGAGGGGAAGGGUCCUUGCCCUGUCAGGCCACCGGCUGAGACCCAUUCCUGUUGCUGCCUCUCCUGCGAGCUUGAGAGACCCAGGCAGACAUCCUGUGGGGCUUCGCUGGGACUCUGGACCCACAGAGGUGGGUGCUAUCAUAAAUGUCCUUCUUUAAGCUGCUGAUUUUGUGGUAAUGUUGUCACAGCUAUAGAAAACGAACACAUUUCUCCUCGGGGACCCACCUGAGUUCCCCAUUGCCACUCCAGUCCACGUCCCCAACUCUCCUCCCAGCCCACUGCCUGCCUCGCUUCUGAUCUCGCCAUUGUGUCCUGGGCCUGGGCAGUGGCCUCCUGUGGACGUCCCUGCCAUGGUGCCCGUCACCUGUCAGUGCCAGCUGCACCCUGAUACCCAGAAAUCUGUGUAAACCUGGUGAUGUCCCUACCCCACACGGCUGCCGAGGAAGGCCAGGGUCCCUGCUUCAGCUGGCAAGGGUCUCAUCAUCCAGUCCCCACAUCCCUCCCCAGACAGCUCUGCCCCUCCUGCCACAUACCCGGGCUCCAGCCACUCUGAACAACUGGGCAGCCAUCCUCGGACAUUCUGGCUGGUCCCCGCUCUGUGAUGGUGCGUCUCUUGCCCUCCCAGCCUGGAAUGCCUCUCCACCUCUUCUCAGCCUGAAAAACACAUUCAUUCUUCAAAAUCCCAGGUCCUAGGUCACCUCUCUUUGGAGCCUUCUGAGGACUCCUGACAGGGAUUUGGGGCUUCGGUGGCCCACUACUCUCCUGUCUGGCUACCUGGUGUCCUCCAGUGGCCCCCAGUGAGCAGACCUCUGGAUCGGCUUUGCCACGGGUCUUCUUCUCCUGGCCUUCGGCCUUAGCACCUGAAGUCCCUGGUAUUGAGCAGACCUCUUCCGCGUGAAUAGGUGACUGUCCUCUCAGUUAAGGGCUGAGCACUGCCACACAGGAGCCAGAAGCCCAAUGGGACAGUGGCCACGGGCUUCCACAGGCCUCGUGGUUUCCGGGGAGCUGGUGUGCAGGUCGGGCUGAGUGGCAGCACCUGGAGAGGCGAGUUCCAGACUUUGGGGCUUGCUGUGAUCUGCUCUGCAGAUCUGGAGGUGACAGUUCUCCUGCUCUCCUGAGGAGGGUACCUAUGAGAUUGUCACCUCUGCAGCCACCUGGAAGUCCCCCUCCGUCCCCUGCUGGUGGACCCAACUCUUGGAGAAACACCAAUUAAAGUUCAAAUGAUUCGGAAGACAGGAAGGACUUGCGUGCCUCCCGCGCCCCCGCCUGGCCGGGCUCUGAGGCUUCCUCCUUUAUUUGCUUUCUGUUUCCCCAGCCAGAGUGCAAGCCCAGAGGGGGGGGGGGGGGGCUGGGCUGUGAGCCUCUCUGCAGUCUGAGCUGGGACGCCCCUGGGCACUGGGGUGGCUCUGGAAUAACUCCGAGGUCCGCCCUGCCCACCUUCCUUCCUGCCCUGCCUUCUCACAUUUGCCCCUGGCUUAAAGCUUCCACUGUCUCCUGUCCCCUUAGGAUAAAGGAACAUGAUCUUUACUUCUAGAAAAUUUCCAUUUUAUCAGUUUAUCCCAGAUUAAGGAAUUAUAAAAAUCCUCCCAUGUGGAUUAUCCUUAAACCUAACCCAAAUGUAACCCCGGCUCUGACUCUGCAGUCUGAGACCGGGAAUCGCUCUUCCCGGAGCCCUUUCAUUUUAGAAGACGUUUCCGGCGUGUCUUCCUAUGUGCUACGAAGAAGGAUUCCUGCUUGACCGUUGCUGGGACGCUCCUCUGGUUUAUCAGGACGUCAGGGGUAUAGGAUGGGAGUGUGAAGGUCAAAAGAACCUUGGAGCUGGAGGGAAGAGAGGCUCCUCCCAUCAGUGUCUACUGGGCUGUGAGGCUGUCCCCUGGGGGCCAGCUGGUGGAGUGAGAAACACCAGCAAGGACAGCUGGUGGCUUCCCAGCCCCACUGACCUGCAGCUCUUCACCGGACUGCUCACCUUCCUGUGAAGAGUCUUGGGGUGGAAUCAAGACAAGCAGGUGUGGGGCUCUGAGCCAGGUCGUGGCUGUGUGCCCUGCAAGGUCCCGAGGGUCCAUGUUUCCUUAUGUCAUUGCUUCCUGUCACCGUGCCAGUGGGAUGGGAUGGGAGUGCCUUCCCCGCUCUUGUAGGGAGGCCACGUGAACGCGCCCCUCCCCGGCCCAGCACUACUCGCAUCAUAUGUGUUUCCUAAGACCUGAAAAUGACCCCUCUGGGUCCCCAAGGACACCCUCAUUUGGAGUUUUGCCCUGCCUGCUCCUUCCAGCACCACAUGAAGCUUUUGUCUGGUGGCUCAAAAGCAAAUGCUGCUCCUUGUCCACUCGGGGAAGGGCCUGGAGAGCGCGCGGGCUCAGGGCGUGCGUGUCCUUUCAGGGCUAGGCGUGAGUGGCGGAGGUGGUUUACGCCCCUGUCCAAAGUAUUCUUGGGGCACUGGGGCCCGUGCUGUGGGGCAGGAGACCUGUGCCACUGAAAUGCCCUCAUGUCACACAGACACGGAGCCCUUCUCUCAGGCAGCCCUGGGCAGCGGGGCCAGGAUGGCAAGUGCCGUGCCCGGGAGCAUGGGAAGUGGUGAGGUUCACACGACACUUCAAAUGGACAGUCAUGUCCUACCUGGGGAGGCACAGGAUGCGUCCCAGGAGGGGCAACUGUUGGGAAAGGGGACUCAGUCAGGAAAGGGCAACUGCUCUUGUCUUGUCUUAGCAGUGUCACCUCCACUCUGUCUGCCCCUCCUGUCCCUUGGUCCAGGUACCAAAGCACCAGAGCACGGUAGCCUCCCAGAGCGGCCCCUUGUCUGCGGCUCUGCAGCGGGCAGCCCCCGGGAAGCACCUGGCUCCACUCUGAGAAGCUCGCGGUGCAGCUGCAGGUCCUGUUCUCAAGUCCGCCUCCUUCUCUGCCCUACCAAGCAGGCAUUUGAUUUGGUCUUCGAGGACCUCCCGGAUGCCCACAAAGUGGACAUACUACAGUCCUGCAGACGGGAGCCCCUCUCAUCGUGAUCACUAGGUGCCCAGGGUCUCCAGGGGCCAUGCAGACAGACAACUGCCACCUGCGGAUCUCCUAGAUGUCUGCCCUGUCCUCCGGUUAGCCAAUGGCCCAUGGAAAGUCUGGGCUCCCAUCUUUGCUUUUAUGGAGACAGUUAGCUUCAUCUUCCUUUCCCUUUGGCCUGUGGAGGUCCUCUGCUCUCAGUGAGGGUUUUGCUAAUUUGCUGAUGCUGGCCUGGAACUUGCAAUCCUCCUGCCUCAGCCUCCGGAGUAGCUGGGGCUACAGGGCUGGCUGCUGGGCCUGGCUUCCCUCGGACCUUCCCUCUUCCUUCUUCCCCC